rnacentral:tRNA from 1 species
CGCCGGAUCGGGGUGGGCGCACCGGUUGACCGCCCAUUUCAGAUGGGCGGGAUCGUCGUCGUACCGGUCGCCGUCCGGCGC